rnacentral:lncRNA from 1 species
CUCUAGUUUGUAAUUUUAAUUUUUGGAGGAAGAUUAAGGUUCCACAAUCUCUUGUAAAUUUUUUUGUAGAUUGGUUGUAUUUGAGUCUGUCCAUUAUGUAAAAGGCACCUACGUCCACUAUGAACAGUAUACUCCCUAUUCGGCUCACAGCUCCAGAUUAAGAGACCCUCAUGCGGAUGCAUAGACAGUGGGAUACAUAAAAUCCUUUCUUCAUCCACCUCCUCAAAGGUAUUUCAAAUCAACUCAACUUUCCACUUUCUUGAAUUAACAUUAAUCAAAACUACUACUGUCAGAAGCCCUGAAUUUACAUUCAUACUCUGAACUCUGAAAUCUUCACUGCUAGGUACCCACGUGUCACCCCAGAUAGAGACAUUUUUUCCGUCCCCAAUCCUUCAGCCCAAACCCUUUAAAGAAG